rnacentral:rRNA from 1 species
UACGGAGGGUGCGAGCGUUGUCCGGAAUCAUUGGCGUAAAGGGCGCGUAGGGGGCCCGGUCAGUCUUUGGUGAAAGCGCGGGGCUCAACCCUGCGUCGGCCAGGGAUACUGCCGCGGCUCGAGCACUGUAGAGGCAGGCGGAAUUCCGGGUGUAGCGGUGGAAUGCGUAGAGAUCCGGAAGAACACCGGUGGCGAAGGCGGCCUGCUGGGCAGUUUUGCUGACACUGAGGCGCGAUAGCGUGGGGAGCAAACAGG